CUCCAGGGAGGAGAUGGUGCCAUUCACCCACGUGUGGCGUCUUGCAUGCCUGUUGACUUGUAGCUGGCAAUGUUAUGACAUCAGUGCUCCUGGCUCUCUGGCCUUUGGACUUGGACCUAUACCACCAACUCCCCUGGUUUUUAGGAUUCAGACCCAGAGUAAAUUACACCACCAGCUUACCUAGUUCUUCAGGUUGCAGACGGCAGAUCAUUGGACUUCUCAGCCUCCAUUAAAAAAAAUCAGGAAGAGCUCACGAGGGCACACUUUGAAGAUCCUUAGAGAGCCUUCCUUAGAAGGACAAAAUGAUGGGCAAUCAUUGAGGAAGCACUCCCUCAGAAGAACUG